rnacentral:lncRNA from 1 species
CUCUAUUUGCUAUGUUCAGGAGCCUUUCAGAGUAAUCUUUUAUGGUUUCAGUUUCUUUCAUCUUCUGCAUCUCGAAAUCUCUUAUAAGAUUCAAAACUUGCAUACCUCUGAUCCUCUCAUCCCCUUCAUAUUCUGACUUGAGAUAAUCCCAUAUGUCUUUGGCUGACUUUAGAGACAUAAUUUGAGUGAAAAUUGAAAAAGAU